GAAUAAUAUAAGUUGGAUCGUUGCUAAAAAAAGAAGAAAAAUAUAUUCGAGUGUGAUCUCUAUAUAAAGGUGACCAAACAUAGGAUUAUUUAGUACAAAACCAGUCGGAGUACAUCGAAGCACUUGCAAGUUAAGAAAAUAAUAAUCAAAGAUGGCCAACAUUCAACAAUCUAGCAAAGCAAAGCUUCAGAUAGUGCUCAACUAUGGAAAUGUUCCUAUUAAGGUUUUUGGAGACAUAAUUGGUUCACGGUACGUAAAUGAUCGAGUUGAGUUUUUUUAUCAUCCAAGUGGUAAAGAUGUUAUGGUAACUCCUGGGAAAGACAUGCCCUUAAAUAUGUCGGAGGUGAAUAUACCUACAAAUGUGGAUCAUCUUUUAAUCGAUGCACGUUUGUGGCAUGGUAGUCAACAAAUUAUAGGUGGCAGCUAUAGCUUUGGAAUUGGAGAACCAGGCAAAAGUGAUCAGCAUA